UUUGCCCAUUUAUGAAUCAUGUUUGUUUUUUGUAUAGAGUAGUUCUUUCUAUAAUCUCUUAUCAGAUAUGACUUGCAAAUAUUUCACCCAUUCCCUGGGUUGCCCUUUCACUGUGUUGAUAGUGACCUUUGAUACACAAAAUUUUUCUUUUUGAUGUAAUUUUUUAUUAUGUUGCCUGUGCUGUUGGUGUCUUUUAUGAGAAAUUACUACCCAAUACACUUACAUGAAGAUUUGUCUAUUUUCUUUUAAGAGUCGUAUAUGUAUAGCUCAGAUUUUUAGGUCUGUCAUCCAUUUUAAGUUGAUUUACCAUAUGGUAUAAUGUAAUGGUUGACUUUCAGUUUUUUUGCAUGUGGAUAUCCAGUUUUCCAAUAUCACUUGCUGAAAAGACUAUCUUUUACCUAAUGAAUGGUCUAGAACCUUUGUCAAAAGUUAUUUGACCAAAUAUACCUGGGGUAUUUCUGAACUUUCUAUUUUAUCUUAUUGAUCUACAUAUCUAUCUUUUUUGUCAUACUACACUAUUUUGAUUACUGUAGCUUUGUAGUAACUCUGGUAUCAGGGAAUGUGGGACUUCCAACCCUGUUCCUUUUUCCACAUUGUUUUGGGUACUCAUUGUUUUUGAAAUUCCACAUCAGCUUAUGAUAGGUUACUAUUUCUGCCAGAAGCAAAUGUUGUUCACUAUUGAUAGAGAUGCAUGGUACCUGUGGAUCACCUUGGGAAGUACUGGCAUCUUUAAAGUAUAAGUCUUCUAAUCCAUGAAACCUGAAUUUUGUUUCCACUUAUUUGUGUCUUCUUAAUUUCCUUCAACAGUGUCUUAUAGUUUUCAACAUAGUUCAAUAUAGUUACCUCCUUGGUUAAAUUUAUUCCUAUUUUUUUAUUCUUUGGAUUGUAUUGUGAAUGAAAUUGUUUUUCCAAUCUCCUUCUUGAAAUGGUCAUUAUUAAUGUAAUGCAAUGGAUAUUCUGAGCCUAUUUUAUUUCUUGCUACUUUCCUAAAUUUCUAUAUUAGUCAUGACACAUUUUUUUGUGUGUGUGAGAGAGGAAACUUAGGAUUGUCUGCAUAUUAUAUCUUGUUAUGUGCCAUUAUUUCUUGGUGCAAUCUUUCUAUUCUUUCCUCUCUCAUGCUCUUGAGAACUCCAUAAUGCAUAUAUUAAUCUACACAAAGGGGUCCUGUGAGUCCCUUACACUCGCCCUUUCUACUUUUUUCUCUUUAGACUUGACAUUUUAGAUGUCCUGUCUUCAAGUGUACUAAGUCUUUCUUCUGUCUAUUUUGCUCUGCAUUGAACUACCCUAGUGAAUUUUUCAAUUCAGUGAUUAUAUUUUUUGUUUUGAAUUUUUGCCUUUUUUGAAAAAUAAUUUGUCUCUUCUUGCUAUUAUUCUCUAUUUGUUCAUAUAUUGUCUUCCCGAUUUCCUUUAGACCUUUGUCCACUUUUUUUUUUUUUACUUUUUGUGCAUAUUUGGUCAAUUUAAAAGUCUUUGUUUAGUAAAUCCAAUGUCUGUUUCUUCAAAGAGGGUUCCUGGAGAUUUAUUUCAUUCCUUUAAAUGACACAUUUUGGCUUUUAGUCUCUCUCUUUUUUUUAAUAUGUCUUGUGAUCUUUUGUAGAAAAUUGUGGGCAUUUGUAAACCCAGUCACCUCUAGUUGUGUUUGCAGGCUGCCAUGGAACACCUUCACUAGUUAGUGGGGAAUGUUUAAUACUUUGGAUAAGCCAGGGCAGACAACUUAAAGUCUCCUUAGGUAUUUUCUGAGCAUUUUUCCUGUCUGGACCUUUGUGUAUGCAUUCAUUCAUCUGGUUCUUCCUGUAUACGUGGCCAAUUUUAAUGUCUUAAGUUCCCAAAGAGUCUUACCCAGAUUCUGUUCAGGGACAUAGAUGUUUUGUUUCUCUUGCCCCAAGAUUCUAAAUUCUGCCGUAUCGCUGCAGGUUUUACAUGACAUUGUGCCCUCUAUUGCCUUGCAAGACUCCCACCAACCUGAUAUCUGAGCUAUAUUGCCAUUUCCAGUCAGAGCUCUGAGCCUGGUGAGAUCUUAACUUGUCACCUGGGAGCCUACAGAGUGGCUACAAUGUUGCAAAUUAUUUCAUUUCUUCUCCUCUUACAGAAGGCAGGGCUACCACUGCUGCCUCUGGACCAUGGCAUGCCACUUCAGGAAGAGUGUGGGGCCAGAAGAGUAAAAUUGCCAUGGAAAUUCUCACCAUUCUGAGUAAAUGGAAAAGCCAGUCUUCAUCUCACAUUGAAACGUAAUGGAAUGCAAAUAGCCAAAUCAACAUGAAAAGAACAGUGUUCAAUGACACACAUCUGUGACCAAUUCAUUUGUGACAAGGGUGCCAAGAGCAAUCAGUGGAGAGAACAGUCUCUUCAGCAAAUGGUGCUGAAACCACUGGAUAUUCAUUCCCAUGAAAGAGAAUAUAUUCCAAGCCUUCCUCACACCAUAUACGAAAAUCAACUCAAAAUGGAUCAAUGGCCUAAAUAAAGAGCUAAAAGCCAAAAAGUUCUUAGAAGAAAAGAAAGGGCUAAAUUGCGUGGACUUGGACUUGGCAAUGAAUUUGUAGAUGUGACAUUGAAAGAAUGAAUAACAAAAGAAAAAAAUAGGUAAAUUCGAUUUCAUCAGAAUUAAAAGCUUCUCCAGAAGCUUUUAAUUAAAGGGGACAUUUUAUAGAAAAUGAAAGGACAACCUCACAGGUACCAGGAAAGUGUACUCUCUUACUGCUUUUCAUCCUCAUCUUGGAGGUCCUAAGAAAGUAGUAGGAGAAAGAAAAAGGAAUAGCAAUCAUGUAGAUUAGGCAGGAAGAGUUAAAACUGUUCUUGCUCACAGUGACAUGAUGGUCUAUUUAAAAAAUCUGAAAGGUCAAGCAAAAUAUUUCUGGAACUAGCAAGCAAUUAUAGUAACAUCAAAGCAUACUAGUUUAAUAUAAAAAAUCCAUAUUUUUCUUAUAUAUCAGCAAUGAACAGGAGGAUGUGAAAUUGAAACCACUCUACUAUUUAUAUUUCACCACUGAAUAUGAAAUCUUGGGAAUAAAUACUAACAAAACAUGUACAAGAUUUAUAUGGAGAAAACUACAAAAUGCUGAUGGAAGAAAUCAAAGAGCUAAAUAAAUGGAGAGAUACUCCAUAUUUAUGGGUAGGAAGACUCACUAUUGCUAGGUGUUAGUUAUCUCCAAUUGGAUCUAUAGAUUCCGUGAGAUCCUACUGAAAAUCACAGCAAAUUAUCAAUUGUGGAUAUUGAUAAGCUGAUGCUCAGAUUUGCAUGGAGAGGAAAACCCUGAAGGGCCAACACAAUGUUGAAGAUGAAGAACUAAGUUGGAAAACUGACAUUAGUCAUCUCCAUGACUUAUGAAAUGGCUAAAGUAAUCAAGAAAGUGUCCUAUAAGCAAAAGAACAGAUAAAUAGAUCAAUGUAAUAGAAGAGAGUACACAUAGACCCACACAAAUGUAGUCAAAUGAUCUCUGACAAAGCUUUAAGAAAUACCACGAAAAGAAGAUAGUCUUUCAAUGAAUGGACACAGAUCGUAUGUCUUCAAAAAAAUUAACACAAAGUAGGUCACAGACCUGAAUAUAAAAUGCAAAAGUAUGAAAUUCAUAUGAGGUGACAUAGGAAAAAACAGACGACCUUUUGGUUGGUGAUUACUUUUUACAUAUAAAACCCAAGUCAUGUUCUAUGAUAGAGUUGAGAAGGGGGCCAAAUUGAUUUUAAAAAUUUCUGUUCUGCAACAUACCUGUUGUGGAAUAAAAGGAGGAGACUCAGACCAAGAGUAAAUAUUUGCAUAGGUAUACCUGAUAAAGACUAUUAUUCAAAAUGUAAUACACGCAAAUAUACAACCAUAUAUACAAACAUACAAAGAACUCUUAAAACUCAUAAUAACAAUAAAAAAUCAAUUAAAAAUUUUUAAAUGGGCCAAACACUUUACCAGAAGUCAACAAUGAAGACAACAGAUGGCUCAUAAGCAUAUGAAGGAGACAAAUGACAGAUAUUUCCCCAGCAUCUACCUCAGCCUCCAGAAUGCCUACUGCCCCCUACUUGUCCAGGACAGCAACUGGCACUCACCUAGGCAAUAGCACCUCUGGUCUGUCAUUAGAACACUCCUAAACGCCGUAUCUGUACAGACAAGGAUGAAGGAUGAGGAUGACCCUGUUUCUGGGGCCAUGUUCUUAACAAAAAAAA